rfam:Corynebacterium glutamicum ATCC 13032 DNA, complete genome.
GAUCAAGAAGAUCAGCCGCAAGCCCUUCGGCAGGCUGACUGGCAACCGCGCAUCGCGCACGGUGCCCCCGAAGGAAGAUCGGCUCUGUACUCAAAAGAAUGCAGAGAAGAGCGAUUU